UAAGACGUAUCUCGUGGAAACGUCUGCGUAUCUCGUGGAAACGCUAACUCAGCAACUCACUUGGAAAUUGCCUAUAUCUGAGCGACUCACUUGGAAAUCGCCUACACUUCAGCAACUCGCUUGGAAAUUGCCUACAUCUGAGCGACUCACUUGGAAAUCGCCUACACCUCAGCAACUCGCUUGGAAAUUGCCUACCUCUCCGCGACUCACUUGGAAAUCGCCUACACCUCAGCAACUCGCUUGGAAAUUGCCUACAUCUCCGCGACUCACUUGGAAAUCGGCUACACCUCAGCAACUCGCUUGGAAAUUGCCUACUACCUGCUAUGGCGUAUCUCGUGGAAACGCACCUCAUUUGUUAGGAAAACAAACGCAUCUUCAUCCCAUUUGGCUGACGAAAGAAGCCCGACAUCCCAAAUUUACCCCAAACUGGAUUUUUUAAAGGAGACUAUUUUGCGAUCCAUCAUGUUAUUAGCUAACUUUCAAAAUCUGAUAAUACACAACUUUAAAUUGACAAAUAAUAACUACAAUUGCUGUCAAUAAUACAAAAUCAAUGAAUAAGAAUUGUACUUUAAUUUAGAGUUAUAGCAGUAAUAGCACUAUCAAUUGUUUGUGGCAAGAAUAAACUGAGGAUAAUUUGGCGGAAUCGGGUGAGGAUGUUAGGCUGAAGAGAAGAUAUUGUCUCAAGCUCACGUGCGUGUUCCCAAUAAAUUCGCUCUUCUCUACUACAUCCGGAGCUCUUCUCCUAGUAGUGUUCGCUCUUCUCCACUACAUCCGGAGCUCUUCUUCUAGUAGUGUUUUCUGGCUUAACUAAUCUCUCAAUCACAUCCGGAGCUCCUCUCCUGUGAUUCCAUUUCCUCUAUCAUACCUCACAAGAACCUACUCUUUUAUUAACCUCUUGGUGCACCACCUCUGACUGUCAGCGCCGCAUCCCCCUGCUGUUAUUUCCCCAGUCAUCUGUCCUGCUCGCGUGGUGCACCGUCGUUCAUCUCCUCGCACCUGUACUUAAUUCACCAUACUCUUCCAGGGGUACUCGCACAUCUCUACAGCCCAGCACCCCCAAUUCCCCAAAUGAAAAUUCAUUAUCUAUGAGGCAAUAUUUUUGACGAGAACUACGACGAGAUAAUUCAACAUGCCAUAACAGGCUUAACAAAUAGACAUGAAAAAGAAACUACAUGCAAGUGCCUAUAAAUUAGCCUUUUACAAUUCGGGUAAUAAAAUCCCCAUUUGAUAAAACGAACAAUGGGCCAGCCUUAGCCCUUUCCUAAAUGGAGCUGUUUUGGAUGCCUUGAUGUUAAAUGUAAAUAGCAGUUCUGAAAAUAGAAGCCUGACCUUAUUUAUUAAUCACUCUAGGGCAAAUGUAUAAUGGCUAAUAUGGAAGAUUUCUUCAUAAAAAAUAUCAGAAACUUUUUUCAUUUGGAUUACUUUUACAUUAACAAAAUUAAAAAUUUGAAGAUAAACUUUUGGGAUUUUGUCAUUCAUUAGUUUUCAAAUUUCUCCCUGGAAAUUUUUAAGGUUUAAAACCCAUGUCCCACAGUAACUUUUUCAUCCUUAUCCUAAUGUUAAUACAUAAUCUAUGCAACAGCUUUGCAGUAAAAUUAAAACACAAGUUUUAACGAAUAGCGGCGAUAGAAAUGCUUUUUUAGAUCGUAUUUUAAAGUUUAAAAUCGAAAAGAGGCAAGCGGAAUUUAAUAGUUGUGAACAAUGCUUCUCGAAUGUUUCUUAGAUUAAACGCGCUGGAAUUUUUUUAAGUAAUUAAAUCAACAAUACAUUCCCGCGCAAUGCAUUAUAAAACUUCGCGAAAGAUUUUUAUUAUUUGCUCCGAUAUUUCUUCACGAGCGCAUUGUUUUUUAACACGCAAAUAUGAACUCGCAAAACGCUCAAGGGAUUUAAUUAUAACAAAAGACAAACGACUGCCGUCCUCCACGCAAAGGUGUGAUAUUAGCGUGUACGCGGUAGAUUACAUUCAGACUGUACUGUACUUAAUCACUCUACAAUGACACUUAUUUAAAUGCCUAAUAUAAAGGGAAUACAUAAAAUCGGAAGCAUAACCGUAUUUAUAUGCCCAACCAUUCUAAAUUAAGGGCACCGACAAUAAAAGCAAUUCCAGAUUUCCAAAUUGCACAAAAGAUAUAGCCUGAUCGAACAAUUUUGGGUAGCAUUCAAAAUACAGCUAUGUGAAAUGUUUAAAAAAUUGAUCCUAAAGACUGGAAACAUAUUGCAAAAAAAAAAAAAUUAAAAAAAAUCCAACUUAAAGUGAGGUAGGAUCGCCUAAGUAGAAAUUGCCAAUGAGAAGAUCAUGUGGAUCUAAACUAGUAAUCGGUUGAAAGCAACGCAUAAUUUUUUUAUUGGCGUUUAAAAAGGUUCCUUGCGCCCAGGAGUCGAGUUAAAAUUCAUCUAAACUACUCAGGAGUGUUUCACGAGGCUCAACUCUCUGGUUUCACGGUAGUUUAACUACAUUUUGCCGCUUUUUGCCGAUUGUUGCGCGAUUCCUUGUUUUCUGCCGUAAAAUAGUCGACUUCGGCGGCAGCCGUAGUGUGGACUUUUGACCCUCUUGGAAACAAACAAAUAAUUUUACGCCAAGAAGAAUCGCGCCGAAGUGUGGACUUUUGGACUCUUGUAAAACAAAGAAUAUGUGACGUCAAGAAGAAUCCCGCCGAAGUUGUCGAAAUUUACAGUAAAGAAAGAUUGAAAUUAAUUUACUCUACCUAUUGUUAUUGCCUCCCGGUAGCCGGUCGGUUGGAUAGGGUAGGAUUUAACAUGUCUAAAGGCUAAGAAAGUUUUGUAUUGACUUGCAGCAAGUAAAUGGAAGGCUUGAAUAUAUGAUUGCGGAAUGAAAUUGAGCAAUGUUGCUAAAAAGAGGCAUGACUGGAAAACAUUUAUUCUCUGUGUUGCCUGGGAUUGCAGAAGAAAGCAGUUUGGCAAAAUAAACAGACUUUUUUGAGUUAACAAAAUUAUAGCAUUAACUUUAUAAUGACAACGUUUUCAGAUUCAAAGCUCCUGGCAAUAAACACUUUUUAAACGAUUUCUUAAAAUGCCACAAGGCCACAGACGAGAACACUAGUCGUGACUAGUUUUGGGAGAAUGACUUCGACAAGACUUGAUGAUGAUUGGUUUAAAAGCUCUAAUCUUAUAUCGAGAUAAUUCCUGGGAACGAUGUUAAUUAUAAAAAUUAGGAAAAAAGCAUGGUUUUAAUUAAUGGGUGAAAUGACGAAAGUUUUUCACAUUUCACUAAAGAAGUUAUGCUGACAGGCAUGGAAAAUGUUUGUGGUUCUACCAACAUAACGAAAUGACUUAGCAUAUAUACAUAUACAACGCUAUCAUGAUGGACACAAAAUGUGUGUAGUUAACGAUAUCUGUUUUUAAAUGAUUUGUUUUGUUAAAAAUUUCAAGUAGUUAGUGUUUAUCGCAUAACAGCUAGGUAUUUCCAAGUUUGAUUCAACAUUUUAGAGUCUUAGCCAAUAAGGGCUACAUAUUUUUGACUGAAUGUUGUGCUAAAUCAGUGGUCAUUCACUUGUUGUGGUAGGUUGUGUUGUUUUUAAUUAGCUAUUGCUGCGUAAAAACCAAAUUUUAUAUAGCGGCCUCUACUUGUGCAAAAUCAUGAUAUAAUUUUGCUAUUUUUAUUUUAUUUAUCUGUUGUUGUUUAUGGUGUACUAUGAUCUAAUAAUACAAAUAAAGCCUAUUUACAAUGCAGUUUGUGUUGUUGUUGUUGCUUAUUUCUCUAUCUUUCUCCUUUUCCAUGUGAUUAAAUGUUUCAAAUAGAUUAAAUAUCAAAAGUUUUAUUAGUAAUAGAUACCGUUUUGCUUGUCUUUUACAGAAUAUAGUUUCUCCAAAUUUAUAGCCUGAAUAUUGCCCCCAAAGCAAUUAUAUUAACCAAUAACUUACGAAAACAAGCCUGCAAAUAUUAUUCUGGAUGUGGAAAAAAGAAGUUUUUCUGGCUAGGUAAGUAUAGUCUAUUAUAAGAUUAAAAAGGGAAAACACGGGGCAAAAUUUUCACGCAGAUACAAUUUGCUAUAUACAGGUUAGAGCAGGAUCGUAUCAUGAUCGUCUAUCGCGGUGAAUGAACAUAAACAACACUAUACAUAACAUAACGAGUUAUCAUAAUGGCAACCUAGCUACAAGGUUGGCAUUACUUGUAUAAAAGCCAUAAUGGCUCUAGGGUGGUUAAAAAGUGACAGUUUCUGGGCUCCUAACAUGAUAUAAUAUAUAAAAUGAAACAAACCGACCUGGAUACUUGCAAUAUCUGUCCUGAAGAAAUAUCUGAAGGCCCCUCCUGAUACCAGAGGCACACGAUCCGAAAUCUGCUAGAGUCACCGGCCGUCAUUGGACGCGCUGCCAUUAUAGUAAUUGAAGCCAAAAGAUGGAGUUGACGAUAUUAGUAGGUUGCAGUGAUAGAUGAUGAUGAUGGAAAACCAAACUCCACUAUGCAUUUCUAAAGCAUGCCGUGCACUCUUCUAUUUCUGUAUGUUUUUGCUAUUCCAAAGCUGUAUAUCUUCGCGCGGCUUGUAAAAUUUUAUGCAAGGAAAAGUGUUAUGUGACCAAACCAAACUAUUAGCAAAAUGUGAUGAUGGAAACUAGUUGACUUUAGCUGCUCCCAUUUUAUAGGUAGGCAAGGCAAUCUUAGGGGCCUGGAUCUACAACAGUAUUGGUUAGUUACCUUGAGGGCCCCUAGUGUUCAUGCCUUGUGACCACCCUUUUCACUAGUCUACCAUUCUAGAUUUGGAAUAACAUUGAGUUUCUAAAGUAUAUCCUUCAAUGAUGCUAGUAGCCAUCUUUGUUGACACUUGAAUACUGAAUGCAAUCAAAGCCAAGCCUCUCAACAAGGUAUAAGUACUUACUUCAGGAACCGCAAUUAACAUGUGGUGAACUGUUGGUCCACCACCAUGUAAACCUAACAGAUUAUUGGAAACUUUGAUAUCUUACCUUGAGGCAUAUUUAUACAUAAUAAAUUGCUAACAUACAUGUAACAGUAGAAACCUCUGUUCUCCUAUAAAGAGCCUUUGAGACUCCUAUAGUGAGAUUUUUUAGUUCACAAAGAAACACAUUAAAAGAGACCUACGUUUAUCAAGAUCUAUGUUUAGAUUCAGGAUCUUUUUCAGACCAUUCGCGUUUUUCUUCUCCCUUUUUAUUAACUUAUUUUUAGGGGAUUACCGUAACAUAGCCCAUCAUCAACCCCGCGCACACGAUCCCCGAAAUGUAAAGGAAUGUCAAGAACCGUAAUAAUUUAAUAUUUGGAUUGAAACAUUUAAUAACUUAUGAAAUAUUUAUAGCCAUUUUUUGCUAAGGGCCGGCUUUCUUUUAGGGCUCAUUUUGAGAGCGCGCUACAAUGAAAUUGAUUACCCUUAGUAAAUAAUUAACGUAUAGCGUCAGAAAAAUUUUACACAAACAGAAAAACCUCUUCAAAAUUUGUUAUUGUUAACCUGACAUAUCCAACUUCAAGAAAUAACCAGGAAGGAGAUCUGGAAAUAAAAAAGAAAAGUUGUUUUUUCUAAAAAUACUAAAUUAGAGUUUUUAACUCUAAAUUUAAGUUUUUAAUUUUAAUACCUUUUUUAAUUGCGAUAGCGCGAUGUUUUGGUUUCGGCUCAGCCCUACGGCAUUCAAAAGUCACAUUAAUAAAGUUAUUUUAAGAUAACAAGUGCUAUCUUAAGAUAACUCUAUUAAUGUGAUUUCGGAAUGCGUGUAUAUUCACAUAAAUGUCCUGAUUGUAAGAUAACUCGAGUUAUUUUAAGAUAACAUAAAUGUGAUAAUUCUAUCUUUUCUAAUGCGCAUAUGUGUAAAUGAACGUUGCUUAGGGUGCGGAUACGUAAAGUAGCUCACCAAAUAACAGCCUACAUGAAUUUCCGGCCGUAUUGACAUUUAUUUUGAUACGUCAUUUGUAUUGUACUUGUGGUGUCGCGUAUGUGCUCUGCUGUAGAGUUCGCUCUGCGGUGGAGAACAAGAUGCAUUUUGUUAGUUUUGUGUUGUGAUGUAUUGUCCCGUGUUAAUUAUGUAAAGAGAAUAAUUGUAAUUUUGGUACUAUUUUUAGUUAAAUUUUCUGCACAUCUUGCACAUCUUUUUUUCUGCGCAUUCAGUCUUCACCAUGUAAUGAGAGAGUCGAACAUACAUUUUUGUAAUAAAUUCGCUGUUGAGUGAAAUUUUUCUUUCAUACAUCACAGAAGUUGUCCUGUAUCUCAGCAUCUGUUUUAGUUGUUUUCUCUCACUUGUAGUUGGCUUGGCUUACGCCACUAUAUUUCUAGUUGAAUCUUGGCAUUCAUUUUUUUGCUUUGCUAAAUUGUAUUUUUGGUAAUAUAGAACAGACAGCCAAUUACUGAUAUGAAAAAUCGUAAGAAUAAUAUCAAACGAAGAUUCAUACAAUGUGAAUUGAAGAAACUGAUUACAUUACAACGAACGAGUGAAUGAUCAGUAAAAAACAAUCUAAGAAAUGUAUGGAUGCUGAGUCGUUUACAACACAUGUAAAAAAGUGAGCCAAAUAUAAUUUUUUUAAAAAAAUCUGCCGAAUUUAUGGAUACUGUGUCGUUGAUAGCAAGCACAAACUGUGUAUUUGCUUUCCCCUCUUUCCCCUUUAGCGAAUGUGUGCAUGAGAGUUCUGUAACCAUGGAACCAAUAUACGUCUUAUGUGCCUUUAACAGAACACUGUGUGGUGAAAAUCAAUAUAAGAAUUGCGUCAAUGCUGUGGCGGUUUCACGCGCUGUUAGUAAAAGUAUGGAUGCUGUUUCUAACAAAACAUUAUAAUCAAUGCAAAAUGUUAUUUUUACAUUUGUUAAUGCUCGGGAACUGCAAUCUUUCUAAAAAGAGUAUGAAUGUCAUGUCAAGCAAAAAAGGUGUACUAAGCUAUGUUGUGGAAAUCAUUGCAGCAAAUAUAAGGUCGUGUUCCCAUAAGUUCUUAUAAAGAUGAUGGAUUUAGUGCAGCUCUGUCGAUAGAGCGUUUGAAUCAUCUCCUCUACUUGAGAUUAAAAGUUCAAUGUCCCCCCAUUGUCUAGUUAGUUUGUCAUUUCAUAAAGAUUUUUGUAGCAAUGGGAGCUAAACACUGGAAACCUGGUCCAUCCUGAAAUCCAUUGAGCACAGACCACAUUAAAUAUAAAUCACCAUCAGUGGUUUGAGGCAGAAUUGUAAGAGAAUUUACAUACUGGAUGGUUCUUUUGUUAUGAAAGUUUUUUUGCAGUAACUUUAAUGACUAGGGUGUCUUUUUAUGCCACUACCUGUACACAUGAUAGAGCUUAAAAGUACUGCCAAACUCUUUUUCCAUGUAUUG